GACGAACGCUGGCGGUGUGCUUAACACAUGCAAGUCGAACGGUAAGGCCCUUUCGGGGGUACACGAGUGGCGAACGGGUGAGUAACACGUGAGUAACCUGCCCUCAUCUCUGGGAUAACAGUCGGAAACGGUUGCUAAUACUGGAUAUGAGCUUGCAAGGCAUCUUGUGGGUUGGAAAGAUUUUUUUGGUUGGGGAUGGACUCGCGGCCUAUCAGCUUGUUGGUGAGGUAGUGGCUCACCAAGGCUUCGACGGGUAGCCGGCCUGAGAGGGCGACCGGCCACAUUGGGACUGAGAUACGGCCCAAACUCCUACGGGAGGCAGCAGUGGGGAAUAUUGCACAAUGGACGGAAGUCUGAUGCAGCAACGCCGCGUGCGGGAUGACGGCCUUCGGGUUGGAAACCGCUUUCAAUUGUGACGAAGCUUUUUGUGACGGUAGCAGUAGAAGAAGCACCGGCUAACUACGUG
rnacentral:rRNA from 1 species